rfam:Sus scrofa isolate TJ Tabasco breed Duroc chromosome 14, whole genome shotgun sequence.
CUUAAUCUUCUUUUCUAUUGGGGACAGGGGACCAACUGCAAUGCAGGGAUCUUGACUAUCUUUGGCCCAGGCUGAC